AUGAAUGUCAUUUUUGUGACUUUCUCCUUCUAGUGCUAUUUUUGAGACAUAAACUUCAAAAUGUGCUAUUAUUGACAAUUGCCCUUAUUAUUUUUAUGAUUGUUUAUUUUUAUUUUAUAAACUAUAUGAUUAGCUGAAGCUUACUAUAUGCUCUAUCCGAAAAGAGUAGAUCAAUGAUCAUAUCAUACUUUGAUAAUUUCUUCUAGUAUCGCUCGCGUAGGUCAGACGCCAAUUAUCAGGAUCCAAAUACGCCAAUUAUCAGGAUCCAAAUACGCAGUGUGUUGAACAGCUUGGGAGUAUAUCCUUUCUCACGACGGCCCUCGAAAUAGCAUGUAUGGAGAGACUCUUUCAAAUUAAGAAACUCACUAAGCCAUUUUCCAGAUGACCUCAUGUGUGGUUUCAAGAUCAUCAUUGUCCUUUAACACUCUCUCUCUCUCUCGCUCUCCCCAUCCAUGAAGAAAUCAGAGGAGCCUUCUCUUCUUUCUGCAAGUCCUUAGCUAAACCCAAGAAGAUGAUCUAAUCUCCAAUGAUUCUCCUUUUCUUUUGCCUUAGAGCAAAGAGAUGAGAGAAUACAGAUAAAGAGUUGGGAAUGCUGAAAGUAAGAAUGCUUAUGCUCUGGGACAUGACCUGAAUCUUGAAAAAUCACUUGCCUUGUUUCUGCCUGAGGCGUUCUUUGACAAAAUCAUUACGGGCUUUAGUACGAGCUUGCUGAGGAGCAACGUUGAGAUACGACAGAUGCAUUCCAACGGCGAAAAGAGCUGCUCCUGAGGCGAAGAAAGCAACCGUCAUCGCCAGUUUUCUUGGUGAUGAUGGAUAGCAAAACCACAUACUCAAUGCUCUAAUCCAGAUCAGAUGGAACAAUCAAACGCUUCGUUCGCUACAGAGAUUCAAAGGUUUAUCUGUUAGUCAAGUAAUAUAGAACAUGAAUGAGAUGAAAAUGAUCGUGAGAAAGAAAUGGGGAAAGAGGAGAAACUUUCUCCAGAAAACAUUUCAUCAAACAGUUGGUGUGCACUCUGACUCAAUUUUUGUGAAACAGAAACUAAGUGUCAAAGUCGCACGCUUCUUGGAACAAGUUGGGGUAGUAAUGACCAAACUAAGAUCACGGGAAUAACGUAAACUGGUACCUGUUUCUAGUUUUUACCGUUGGAAGGGAAGCACUGAGCUUAUAAACAAACGUACACAAAACAAUAACACUAGAAGACGGUGCUGCCAAUUUGAAGUUUAGUCUAAAUAUGGUUAACUUAACAUCUCAAGCAAUAUGGGGAUGUAGCUCAGAUGGUAGAGCGCUCGCUUAGCAUGCGAGAGGUACGGGGAUCGAUACCCCGCAUCUCCAUUUUUUACUCGUCCUCAUUCUCAUGGGCUUUAUAAUGCUAAAGAUUUUAAACAGUAUUUGUUUUUGUCAAUGGGGCAAUGAGUUUCGUAGAAUGGCCUGCUAAAAGUAUCAUUUUACAAACGUUUGUUACUUACUGUACUCUAUCUACUCUGUUACAAAAAGAAAAAAAAUAUACUCUAUCUACUCUACACUUUCAGUCUUGCAAACUAUUAAAAACUUCUUCUCACUAAACCAAAACUUUAAAACUAGAUUAUGUUGUGAUGUUAAAUUCCUGCAGGUGGGAGAAGACGAUAGCUCAACAGACAAUGAAUAUCAACAAGAUGGAACGAGACAUUGGAGACAAAGGACUUGAAAAACCGUGGCCAUGGGCAUGUCUAAGAUCAAUUACAUGGAUCCUAGAAUCACACUCACACUCGCAGCACAGAUGAAAGUCUAUACAAUACAAUUGUUUCAGGUGAGGUUUACUUAUGCUACAAGGACUAUCGAACUGGGGUUAUGUAUUGGCUGAGUAGCAUCCUUCCAAAGAUUAUUUUAUUUUAUCCAGAAUGAUACACUCACUCCCCGCUGGCAUGACUUUUUUGAGUACAAUGAAGAAUGUUUAAAAAAUGAAUGAGAAACAAGAUUUACCAUAGGGGAAAAAAACGUAUUGUUUGUUCCACACCGAAUUACAAAAGGGGAAACCGAUAAGUUUAACGAAGAUACACCGAAAGAGUAAGGUACUCUAGUUUGAGGAGACGGAGGUUCUUGUUUGAGUAGAGAUGGGUGUCUACUCCACCUCGCUUAGGAUUGGGACAAUGAGAGGCUUCAUCUGCGCAAUGUAAACGAUUGCCCACCUGCCAAUAUGAAGAAAGAAAACGAUGCAGUGAUAUAAGAUAAUGAAUGAAUCUUCUUAAAGAACAUUUGCGCAAGACAGAAAAAAAAGUUAAGACAUUGGUCAGAGACCAAUAGAUAAUGUUCAUGUUGUGGAACUUUCUCAAACACUAAUCCUCCUAAUCCAUCGACUUAAGACAAGUUUCUAACUAGAACUGUUUACAUCAGAAGAAAAUUGGAAGAAGUCUCUAUUGAUGGUUAAUGUUGAUUCAGGUGAGGAGCAAAUCAAACGAGAGAGAGAGAGUUGGAUAAAGGUGAAAGCAAAGGAGUAUGCAAACCAGUGGAUAGCAGCAAGUAAAAGGAAAAAAGAGUGAAUGAAACAUAAUAAACUUACAUCAUCCAACAGCAGACAGUGGCUGUAAUGACCAAGGUAAAAUGCAGCCUGUUCCAUUAAAAAAAAAAAAAAAAAGACUUGAGAGAUCUUUACUCCAACCAAGAAGUAGACAGAGAAAACAGAACACA